GAUACUGUGAUGGCCCAGACUCCACUCUCCUGGCCUGUCGCCUCUAGAGAGCCACCCCCAUAUCCUGUAGGUCUAGUCAGAGCCUCUUGUCCAGUGAUGGAUACACCUAUUCGUAUUGGUUCCUGCAGAAGCCAGGCCAGUCUCCACAGCUCCUGAUCUAUUUUGUUUCAAACCGGGCCUCUGGAGUCCCAGACAGGUUCAAUGGCAGUGGGUCAGGCACUGAUUUCACACUGAAAAUCAGCCGGGUGGAGCUGAAGAUGUUGGGGUUUAUUACUGCAUGCAGGCUCUGCAGCUUCCUCC
rnacentral:lncRNA from 1 species